rnacentral:lncRNA from 2 species
CGAAUUUGUAAUCGUUCCAGCGGCACGCGCUGCCGCCUCCAUUUCCCACGCUACCGGCACCGCCCACCGCCGGACUUCCUCACCCGCGGCUCCGGCGGCGCCACCGCCCACCGCCGGACUUCCACCGCCCGCCCAAUCCGGAUACGUGCAGCGGGAGCGCGGGCGGAGCUGGAGUAUGGCCAAUCUAGAGGGCAAAGGGAGGUAAAUUAA